GCCCACUCCUUCCACCCUCCCUUCCUUCCGAGUCUUAGCUCCACCUCUCUUCCUCUGCCUCUUCCCUCCCCCUCUUAUCUCCCCCCUCCUUCGCCUCCAUCCUGACAACCUCCAGUUUCUCUUUUUCCUGUGCUCCUAGUCCUGGCCUCUCAGCCUAUCUGGCCCCCAACCCCCCUUGCUUAGUUAGGCUCAGGGUCUGUCCCUGGUUCUCAUCUCCCUCUAGUACAGGGUCUGUUCCUACCCUUCCCAGUCACAGGGAUAGAAGGGAGGGUACUCCACCACCAGUCCCUGCGCAGGACAGAGAGGAGCCCUUGGGAUUACGUCACUAAGACUCAGCUGUGGGCCACUACAGCUGACUGGAGCCCUUUCCUCCUAUGCAAGAGAGAAACUCACAAAAACACAACCAAAGACCUUGGAGUCCUCUGAACCCUCCCCAGUUCCUGCUCAAGACCUCUCCCGACCAGACUCAAUUAUUUCCUCCUCUGGCCUCUCAGACUUAGCUCUGACAAGCCUCUAGUUUCAUGUCUUUCCCUCAGGCCGUUUCUGUGUCUGGGCCUUGGAGAGCAGGUAGGGACAUCUCUCAGGGCUCGUGCUUCACAGCCCUUCCUUGUGAGAGGGCCACCGCUGUGUGCAGUCAGGUCUAAUCUCGCAAGAGCUCCAAAAAUGUCUGUUGCCCUAAAAAGCCUUCUUCUGGGAGCUGCAAAUCUCAGAAGUGGACACAGCCUGGAACUGCAAAUACCCAGAGUUGAUUCUGCCGCCUUUCUCAGACCCUUGAAAUCUUUUCUGCCACCAGCCACAUGGAAACCUGACAGGCAAGGACCCUUCUUGGGAGGGGAACAGAAGAGAUCUUAGUCACUUCGGGCCACCCAGCACAGUCAGGGCUCUCUUUUGGGCUCACUCAUAUUCAGCACACCUGCCCUGAAGUGGGGGCCACUGGGCUCAGGCUGAGCUGCUGAGGGCAGGAGACCUGCUCCUAGGUCAGCACUGGCUAAGCUUCUCCUUGGGUUUGGUGGAGUUCCUGGCUCCCCCUUUUCUGUCGUGGGCAGCUCCAAGGGUCCUCAGGGCCCAAUGUCCCAGUUUGUUUUCUGUUGCUGCGGUAAACCACAGGCAACUUGUGGGUGGAAAGGGUUUAUUUCAGCAAACAGUGUAGCAUGGAGGGAAGUCAGGGCAGGGACUGAAGCAGAGACCAUGGAAGAACACUGCUUCCUGGCUUGUUCAGCCUGCUUUCCUUAUACAGCCAACACCCACCUGGCCAGGGGUUACCCUCUGUGUGCUGGGCCCUCUCACAUCAGCCAUUAAUCAAUACAAUGCCCUACACACGUGCCUCCAGGCCAGUCUGACAGAGGCAUUUUAUCAGUUGGUGGCUGGUUUGUGGUUGGGGGAUCAUGACUAUCAAGGAGCGUCCAACACCCAGGGGUAGAUGCACCUGCUCUUGCCUGAAGCCUGUGCCUUCGCCAGGCCUGGAGCAAGGCCAGCCAACGUGGCCCUGUCCCAACUCUCACAGGAGCCUUCAUUUGAACCAGUAGCCCUCCCCCAAGCUCUGCCAUUUAUACAGCUAACAGUGACUCCUAAAGAGGGAGAAGGAAGCAGCUGCUUCCUGUAUUUCUCAAACUGCAGGGAGUCCAUGAACCCCACUUACUCGCUAUUUAUUUAUUUAUUUAUUUAUUAAAGGAGGAAGGAAGUGGACAUGGGCCUCAAAGCACAAUUUGUGGGAGUUGAUUCUCCAACCACUUGGUCUGAGAGCUCAAGCUCAGGCUUGGCAGUAAGUUCCCUUCUUGAUCACUGAGCCAUCUUGAUCACUGAGCCAUCUUGCUGACCCUCCUGCUCUUUUUUGAUGCCUCUUGCUUCUGGCUUUAGUAAAGGGAAGACACCCCCACUUCACCCUCAGGCCUAGCCUCCCUCCCUCAAGUCUCCAUAGGCCCUGGCUCCUUGGUACCCUCAAUACAGAUGAGGGUGUGGCUGCAUCAUCCCUAAAUCCCACAUCACCUAUGGGCAGCAGCCAGGAUAGGUCUCACUUCCCAUCAUGCCAACUCUCCUCACCCAGGUCUACAACUUUCUUACUGUCUAUAAGACUAAAGAGUGUGAAGUACUCCUCAUGGCAUAGCUGAGAUACUCAGGGAAGAAAAAGUUGCAAGGAGAGAAAGCUUUGUUCCAUCGGGCUGACUGCCAGCAUCCUAGCUCAGUACUUGUCCUGAAGAGAGACAUCAAAGGACAUCUGACUCAAACUUCCCUGAAGACAGGGCUCCCUCCCAUGUGAUCACAGGAGAUGGAGACCUGCAGAGAAUCCAGGAGAACAUGUCCAGGGUCAGGACCAGGGGACCUGAAACUAACUUAGAUGACGCUGAAGCAAUCAGGGUCAAGAUAUCCGAAAGGGAUCUUCAGGAACGUGGGAUGUCUGUAAAUACUGACUGCACGACGUGUCCAUUCAAGGUCCUCACAACACCUGUCUCAGCGGACUCUGAGGCUGGCCCAGCUGUGUGAAGUUAGGCCAGAUACUUCAUCUGAUAUGAGACCUGCGACAGUCUACAGAUGGAGAGACGGAUCUGAAAUGGCCUGCCUAAGGCCACACAAAAUUGGCAGCAGGGCCUGAAUGGGAACUGAAGGUGCAGAGCUUCAAGCCCAACAGCAGGGUAAAAAGCCUCAGCCCCAUGUGUCCCUGUCCCCUCUCCAAUCCUAGCAUUCCUAGCCCCUCCUGCCCAGAUCUUCUUCUUGAUGACUGUCUGGCUAAAGGGUCUCUGCUCCCUUCUUACUUGGGCC